rnacentral:rRNA from 1 species
GGAGGAGGAAAAGAAAGAAACAUCGAUUUCCAAAGUAGCGGCGAGCGAAAUGGAAGGAGCCCAAACCGAUAUUGUUACGGCAAUAUCGGGGUUGUAGGACUGCACUAUUCAAAUAACAAUGAACUGGAAUGGUCUGGAAAGUCCAUCCAUAGAGAGUGAAAGGCUCGUACAGGUAAGUUUGUUAUGCGAAAGCAGUAUCCUGAGUAUGGCGGGACACGAGGAAUCCUGUCAGAAUCAGCCGGGACCACCCGGUAAGGCUAAAUACUCCCAAGAGACCGAUAGUGGACCAGUACUGUGAAGGAAAGGUGAAAAGAACCCCGAACAGGGGAGUGAAAUAGAACCUGAAACCAUACGCUUACAACCGGUCGGAGCAGCUUCGUGCUGUGACGGCGUGCCUAUUGAAUAAUGAGCCUACGAGUUACUAAUCACUAGCGAGGUUAAGUGCAAGGAUGCACGGAGCCGAAGCGAAAGCGAGUCUGAACAGGGCGUUUAGUUAGUGGUUGUAGACGCGAAACCUUGCGAUCUACCCUUGAGCAGGUUGAAGGUUGGGUAAAACCAACUGGAGGACCGAACGAAUAAGCGUUGAAAAGCUUCUCGAUGACUUGAGGGUAGGGGUGAAAGGCUAAUCAAGCUGGGAAAUAGCUCGUACUCCCCGAAAUGCCUUUUGGGGCAGCGUUGUAAUAAAGAGUCUACUGGAGGUAGAGCUACUGAUUGGAUGCGGGGGCUUCACCGCCUACCAAAUCCUGACAAACUCCGAAUGCCAGUAGUAUGAUUUACAGCAGUGAGCGACCGGGUGCUAAUGUCCGGUUACGAGAGUGGAACAACACAGACCAGCAACUAAGGUUCCCAAGAGUAUACUAAGUUGAUCUAACGAUGUUUUGCUGCAGAGACAGCUAGGAUGUUAGCUUGGAAGCAGCUAUUCAUUCAAAGAGUGCGUAACAGCUCACUAGUCGAGCGACAAAGCGUGGAUAAUAAACGGGCAUCAAGUAUACCACCGAAGUUCUGGGCACGAAAGUGCGGUAGGGGAGCAUUCCAUUCCGCGUUGAAGCCGAACCGUGAGGUUUGGUGGAGUGUAUGGAAAAGCAAAUGUAGGCAUGAGUAACGAUAAUGCGGGAGAGUAACCCGCACACCGCAAGACCAAGGUUUCCUGAUCAACGCUAAUCGGAUCAGGGUUAGUCGGGUCCUAAGGGUAAGCCGAACGGUGAUCUCGAUGGAUAAUCGGUUAAUAUUCCGAUACUGACAUAUACCUCGAUGGAGAGACGAAGGAACGUAAGUGCCGCCACCUGACGGAAUAGGUGGUUAAAGGGCGUAGGUAUAGGGGCAGAUUAAGAGUUAGUCCUUGCUGAAACCUGACAGUACAGAGAGCCUACGGGCAAUUUGAUAGAGCACCCAAGUCGACUUCCGAGAAAAUCUUCUAAGUUAUAGUAUAUGUUACCCGUACCGUAAACCGACACAGGUGGUCGAGGAGAGUAUCCUAAGGUGCUCGAGUGAAUCACGGUUAAGGAACUAGGCAAAUUAACCCCGUAACUUCGGGAAAAGGGGUCCCUAUGAAAGUAGGGCGCAGCGAAGAGGUCCAGGCGACUGUUUAUCAAAAACACAGGGCUCUGCAAAUUCGAAAGAAGACGUAUAGGGCCUGACACCUGCCCGGUGCUGGAAGGUUAAGAGGAGAUGUCAUCGCAAGAGAAGCAUUGAAUUGAAGCCCCAGUAAACGGCGGCCGUAACUAUAACGGUCCUAAGGUAGCGAAAUUCCUUGUCGGGUAAGUUCCGACCUGCACGAAUGGUGUAACGAUCUGGACACUGUCUCAACCGUGAGCUCGGUGAAAUUGUAGUCCCGGUGAUGAUGCCGGGUACCCGCAACGGGACGAAAAGACCCCGUGAACCUUUACUAUAGCUUAACGCUGAAUUUGGGUACAUAAUGUGUAGGAUAGGCCGGAGGCUUUGAAGCGGGCACGCCAGUGUUCGUGGAGCCGACGUUGAAAUACGGCCCUUUGUGUAUUUGAGUUCUAACCCCGUAAGGGAGACACCGUUUGGUGGGUAGUUUGACUGGGGUGGUCGCCUCCAAAAGCGU